AAGACUGGAUGAUAUUAUCAUCUCUUCAGAACAUUUUCACUGGCUCCUCAUUGCUGAAAGGAUAAAGACAAAACAUCUUAUAAUUUCCAAGGUUUCCUGAGGCCUCCCAGCCAUGUUUCCUGUACAGGCUGCAGAAAUGGCAAACAUUUACUUGAAUCUGUUCUCAUUUGGCUGGUAAUGAGAUCUGCAUCAGAAGCCAAAGACAAGAGAAACUGGCUGAGUUUCAAAGAUAGCAGGUGGAAGAAAAGAUGUACCACCUUAUAAAAGUCUUUGUGGCCAUCAGGCUUUUAAGCUCAGCUAAAUUUCCACAUAAUAAAUGAAAAUGCUACUCCUGAGUGUGAAAAGCAAUAAAAUAAAUAUUGUUUCUCAGUGACUUAAGGAACAACGUUCACUACCAAAGCAAAUGUCACUCCUUAGAGCUGUGUUAUUUUGUGACUAAUUCUGUAAUAUGGUUUAAUAGCUAUGUUAGCUGUAUGCCUCUCCCAACCUUAUUUUGUAACUCUGACAUCCUCACUCCUUAUGUCCCAGGCCAAUGUCUUCUUGAACUGUUCCUUGAACUGGCCAAGCUUGCUUCUGGCCUCAUGGCCUUGCAUAAUUUCGUUUCUCUGCCUGAAGUAUUCCUUCCAUAGAUUCUUUUUGCAUGAUUGGUUCUUUCUCAUCAUUAAGGUUUCACUAAACAACCCCUCCUCAAAAACAUCCUCUCUUUCCAUUCAAUCUAAAGUAGCUCAACAAUUGCUUUAUGCUUUAUUUUAUUCUUGGAACUUCACAUUAUGUGAUUCUUUCUUAUUGAUUUAUUGUUCCCACCCUCUUCCCCCCUGCCUACACCACCACUAGAAUGCAAGGUCCAUGACUAGUUCUGUAUGUUCCUGGCACCAAAAGAAGUGCCUGUCACCUAAGAGACAUAUUCCCUCAAAUAACCACUGCAUAUUUGAAUGAAUUAAUGAAUCAAAGGCCUCCACAUAGCUGUCUUUAAAGCUCUUCAUGCCGGGCGCGGUGGCUCACGCCUGUAAUUCCAGCACUUUGGGAGGCCGAGAUGGGCGGAUCACCCGAGGUCGGGAGUUCAAGACCAGCCUGACCAACAUGGAGAAACCCCGUCUCUACUAAAGACACAAAAAAAUUAACCAGGUGUGGUGGUGCAUGCCUGUAAUCCCAGCUACUUGGGAGGAUGAGGCAGGAGAAUUGCUUGAACCCAGGAGGCGGAGGUUGCGGUGAGCCAAGAUAGUGCCAUUGCACUCCAGCCUGGGCAACAAGAGUGAGACUCCGUCUCAAAAAAAAAAAAAAAAAAAAAAGCUCUUCAUGGCCUAUUCCCUACCUAUGUCUUUGACUUCAUCUCACAUCAGCCUUCUCACUCUCUGUACUUCACCACAUUGGCUUUUUGAAAUACCCUAUAUUCUUCAUUCUCCUCUGUGGGCUCUAGGCCUUUCCCCAUUCUUCUGGUUAGAGAAAGAUCCCCCAGGUCAUUCCUUCAUCCCAUUAAUGCCUACUAAUUUUUGCAGACCUCAUUCAAUUACCACCUCCUUGAUAACUAGAAUAGGUCAAAUCCCUUAUGAAAUGCUCUUAAAGUUUUCUUCACAUCUCUCUUCUAAGUGCUUAUGAAAUUAAAAUUCUAUAUUUAAUCGUGAGAUGAUUAGUGUUUGUUCAUCUACUAGACUGUUGCUCUAUGAAAGCAGGAAGUGCCUGUACAUAACAGACUCUCAAUAAAUAUUUAUUAGAUGGGUAAAUAUCUAGAUAAUGACUAGCAAAUUCCACAGGGACUUUCUAUAGCACAGUUGAAUUGGUUUAUUCAACAAAUAAAUGGCAAGGGGGAAAAAAAGGGGGUAAACUGUAAGCAAAGGAUUAGGUUCUCAUUGACACCUUAUCAAAAUGGAAGUUCUCUGUUAUCAGAAAUAUACUAGGGCAGCCGGGUGAGGUGGCUCACACCUGUAAUCCCAGUACUUUGGGAGGCUGAGGUGGGCGGAUUGCCUGAGCUUGGGAGUUCAACCACCCUGGACAAUAUGGUGAAAUUCUGUUGUCACUAAAAUACAAAAAAUUAGCUGGGCAUGGUGGCAGGCACCUGUAGUCCUAGCUACACAGGAGGCUGAGGCAUGAGAAUCACUUGAACCCAGGAGGCAGAGGUUGCAGUAAGCCAAGACCACACUGCUGCACUCCAGCCUGGGCAACAGAGCGAGACCCUGUCUCCAAAAAAAAAGAAGAAAGGAAAGGAAAAAGGAAAGGAAAGGAAAGGAAGAAAGGAAGGAAGGAAAGAGAGAGAGAGAAAGAAAGAAAGAGAAAGAGAGAAAGAGAGAAAGAAAAGAAAGAAAGAAAAGAAAGAAAGAAAGAAAGAAAGAAAGAAAGAAAGAAAGAAAGAAAGAAAGAAAGAAAGAAAGAACGAAGGAAGGAAAGAAAGAAAGAAGGAAAGAAAGAAAGGAAAGAUACUAGGGCCAGGUGAGGUGGCUCAUGCCUGUAAUCCCACAACUUUGGGAGGCCGAGGCAGGAAUAUCACUUGAGUCUAGCAGUUUGAGAGCAGCCUGGGCAACCAGCAAAUCCUCAUCUCUACAAAAAAUAAAAAAUUAGCCAGGCCUGGUGGCACACACCUGUAGUCCCAGCUACUUGGAAGGCUGAGGUGGCAAGAUCGCUUGGGCCUGGGAGAUUGAGGCUGCAGUGAGCUGUGAUCGCACCACUGCACGCAGCCAAUCAAUCAAUCAACCAAUAAGUAAGAAGAAAUUUAUCGGCUAAGACGUGGAUACAAUUACAAUGCAACAUACUUUGUUUUCAUUUUUGUUGGGAAUCACACAAAAUAGAACUGAUACUCUUCUGUGUGCAUUAAUACUACAAUGACUGCGACUGUAUGUGAAUUUGCCAGUUUUUUUGCAUGUGAUCUACAACAAAAAAACAAAUUUCAAUCAACUAUGUUAGGAAAAAGGCUGAAUUAGGUUUAUUCUCUAUAAGAAAUUAUAUUGGAAAAUCUUUGUUAUAUGAAGAAGUGAUCAAAGAGUAUGAAGACAAAGCAGGAACAAAAAGUAUUAUAGAAGUGUAUCAGGUAAUUAAUUAAAAUGUUUUGUUUUUCUUCUGGAUUUUGUGGUAUUUGAGGCAUUUGUUGACUUUAAAAAUAGGUAAAUUGUCCGAGCGCGAUGGCUCACUCCUGUAAUCCUAGUAUUUUGAGAGGCCGAGGCGGGCAGAUCACCUGAGGUUGGGAGUUCGUGACCAGCCUGGCCAACAUGGUGAAAACCCUGUCUCUACUAAAAAAAAAAAAAAAUUUGCCAGAUAUGGUGGUGGGCACCUGUAAUCCCAGCUACUUGGGAGGCUGAAGCACGAGAAUCACUUGAACCCAGGAGGUGGAGGUUGCAGUGAGCCAAGACUGUGCCAUUGCACUCCAGCUUGAGUGAGAGACUCUGUCUCAAAAAAAAAAAAAUGUAAAUUGUUGGCACUCUUAUUAUAUAUUUAUAUAUUUAUAUAUAUAUUUACUUCCAUUCCAAAAACAAAGAGAAGGAUCCUACAGAUUAAGAAAGAAUACAAUGUCUGGUCCUUGUUUGGAUUCCAUUUAAAAUGAGCUAAGUGCAAAUUUAUGGGACAAUCAGAAAAAUUUAAACAUGACUAGAUAUUCUAUGAUAUUAAAAAUACUGUUAAUAUUUUUAGAUUUGAUGAUGGUAUUGUGGCUACCCUUACAUGUCAGAGAAAUAUAUUGAAGUAUUUACAGAAAAACAAUAUAAUAAAUAAUUUCCAUAAAACAAUCCAGUAUUUCGUGUGUGUGCAAAAAAAUGAGUGGGGGUAAAAAUGAAAUAAGAUAGGCUAUGUGUUGGUAACUGAUGAAGUUAGGUACUGGGUACAUGGGAUUCAUUAAACCAUUACUCCAACUUUCAUAAAGGUUUUCAACUUUCAUAAUAAAAUAUUAAGAAGAAUAUAAAAUGGAAGUUUAUUACAAAAAAAAUUGGAGAACAGAAACUGAAAAGCCUUUAAAAACAGAAGCCCUUUCUCAGACUUUACAGCUUGCAUAAAUAAAUUAAUAGCAGAGGACACUACUGCAGAACAAAUUAAACAGGCCAGAUUUAUGAGUUUGGAAUUUUUUCUUUGUGGCAAGCAUUUGUCAAUUGUUUCUAUUUCUGCAUUUUUAAAUGAAAGUUCUGUAGCUCCUCAGGCUCACUGAGUAUCACAACAGGCAAGCAGAAGAUGGGGGAAAAUGAGAGCCAACUGGACGAAGAAAUACAAGAAAAAUUCAAGGAGAACUGUUGCUGAUUUUGUGAAGAAAUCAUUUCUUAAAAAAAAAAAUACAAGCAGGAAAAAGAAACAACAAACCAUCUACUGUAUGAGCUAUAUUCUCCUCCACAAUAAUAAAAGCCAAAAUGGAUUACCCAGAUGGAAAAACCCACGUAAUUUUGCUCCUGAAAAUUAUUCUGUUUUAAGCCUAUCUUCUCUUACAAUAAAAUCCACAAAGGAGAAGAGGAGAAAAGGAGUAUUAGUCUAUUUUCGGUGAAAUACAGAAACAAUGAGUCAUGAGUAAUACAUGAAAUAAGAUACAAUUCUUUUGGUACACGAUCUAAUGGCUGUACAGGGAAUGAAACCACUGUUGGUUAAACUAUAGUGAAA